rnacentral:rRNA from 1 species
GAUGAACGCUGGCGGCGUGCCUAAUACAUGCAAGUCGAACGAACGGACGAGAAGCUUGCUUUUCUGAUGUUAGCGGCGGACGGGUGAGUAACACGUGGAUACCCUACCUAUAAGACUGGGAUAACUUCGGGAAACCGGAGCUAAUACCGGAUAAUAUUUUGAACCGCAUGGUUCAAAAGUGAAAGACGGUCUUGCUGUCACUUAUAGAUGGAUCCGCGCUGCAUUAGCUAGUUGGUAAGGUAACGGCUUACCAAGGCAACGAUGCAUAGCCGACCUGACAGGGUGAUCGGCCACACUGGAACUGAGACACGGUCCAGACUCCUACGGGAGGCAGCAGUAGGGAAUCUUCCGCAAUGGGCGAAAGCCUGACGGAGCAACGCCGCGUGAGUGAUGAAGGUCUUCGGAUCGUAAAACUCUGUUAUUAGGGAAGAACAUAUGUGUAAGUAACUGUGCACAUCUUGACGGUACCUAAUCAGAAAGCCACGGCUAACUACGUG